AGCAGCAAAAGAGCAUGGUGCAUGGUGUAACACUGUCACUGGUCCUGGCAGAAAAGUAGUCACCAUCAACACAACCACAUUACCCUUUACUUCAAUAGUGAGACACAACUGAAGAGUGGGAUCAGGACUUUUGGAGCCAGAGUUUGAACAUCUGACAACAUCAUAAUGUCUUAUGAACGGAUUCUGUCCAUUGAAAAUCUGAGCGAUGUUCCAAAUCCAUGGAAGGGAUUCACGAUGAACCGCUGCUUAGUGGUGGCACUGGUCGUACUGUUUGUGAGCUCCGGGGUCAAUGAAGUGCACGAUGCUGUGGAUUAUUUUGUUGAAGAGACAGGUAUAAGGUCUUUCGUUGGGAGUGUGAUGGAUGGUUCAAUAACUCAGAUUUCCAUAUGGGACAAUUUAAUGUGGUGGUGGGGAUCUGAAGAAGUUGGAGCGAUAAGAAGAAGAAAAAAGCCGAUCAGCCACAGAGUAAUCCUGAAGCCAAAACCUA